CAUACAAUGGUCGGAACAGAGAGGUUGCCAACCCGCGAGGGGGAGCUAAUCCCAGAAAACCGAUCGUAGUCCGGAUUGCACUCUGCAACUCGAGUGCAUGAAGCUGGAAUCGCUAGUAAUCGCGGAUCAGCAUGCCGCGGUGAAUACGUUCCCGGGUCUUGUACACACCGCCCGUCACACCAUGGGAGUGGGUUUUACCAGAAGUGGCUAGUCUAACCGCAAGGAGGACGGUCACCACGGUAGGAUUCAUGACUGGGGUGAAGUCGUAACAAGGUAGCCGUAUCGGAAGGUGCGGUUGGAUCACCUC
rnacentral:rRNA from 1 species